CUAGCUUCUCGGCUCCUUAAGAGCUAAGAUCAGCGUAGUGUCAGUUCUUAUGAGUUUAAUACGAUGAUCCUUUGUUUUGAGGACUGUAUAUUAAGUGAUUUUUUGAGCAAGGGGAUGGAAUAGGGAGGCUUGCUCUGUCCACUAUGCAUUGACCUGGUAUUGCAGUGUCUCCAGGACCAGUGCUUCUCCU